GUUGCCAUUUUUCGCCCGAUGCCCUUGACGGGGUGUGGGGUGGACGACAGGCACGCCGCGUGUUCCUCGCAUGCCUCGCAUCGUUGCGGGCUGUUGAGGCCCACGGAGCUGUUGCCCGCUCUCUCGGAUGCGGAACAUCAAGCGCGGGUGCGGGGUCUCGACCCUUGCUUGCCCGAGCUAUGCGUUUGUCCCUUGACACGAACGACUGUUGCGGCCGUCUUGAUCCCGUCGUGGCCUAUGCGCCGGACGGAGCUCAUGCGGUCGUCGGCGUCGUCGAGGAAUG
rnacentral:misc_RNA from 1 species